GUCGGACGCACAACGUCUUAAAGGAGUGUUGAUUUUAAAGUGUUAUUGGUUUUUUUUAAAUUGGAGUAAACAUUGACAGGUUGUACCGUCCACAAUGACUUCCAACGAGGAAACAGAAGAACAUGAUCUGUUUGCGCACAAUCACAAACAGACCACAGCUGAAAGACCAUUUGUCAAGAUGAGAGCAGAUUCCAAAAUCCCAUGGAGUGCGUCCAUGAGGUCUGACCCGUCUAAGCACGAAGGAAUUGAAUUCAAGGAAAAAAGAUUUGGUGUUUAUUUAUGGUAAGACUAUGCUGUGAAAUUUGGUUAAUUAGAAAAACAAGUGUUGCAAUCGUUUUAUAACAUGAAAUGUGACAAUUGAAAAUUUAUCUUGGGUUAAAGUCU